GGGCCCGCACAAGCAGCGGAGCAUGUGGUUUAAUUCGAAGCAACGCGAAGAACCUUACCUAGACUUGACAUCUCCUGAAUAGCGUAGAGAUACGUGAAGCCCUUCGGGGCAGGAAGACAGGUGGUGCAUGGUUGUCGUCAGCUCGUGUCGUGAGAUGUUGGGUUAAGUCCCGCAACGAGCGCAACCCUUAUCAUUAGUUGCUACCAUUAAGUUGAGCACUCUAGUGAGACUGCCCGGGUUAACCGGGAGGAAGGCGGGGAUGACGUCAAAUCAUCAUGCCCCUUAUGUCUAGGGCUACACACGUGCUACAAUGGUGAGAACAACGAGAUGCAAUACCGCGAGGUGGAGCCAAACUUGAAAACUCAUCCCAGUUCGGAUUGUAGGCUGAAAUUCGCCUACAUGAAGUUGGAGUUGCUAGUAAUCGCGAAUCAGAAUGUCGCGGUGAAUACGUUCCCGGGCCUUGUACACACCGCCCGUCACACCAUGAGAGCUGGUAACACCCGAAGUCCGUGAGGUAACCUUUAUGGAGCCAGCGGCCGAAGGUGGGAUUAGUGAUUGGGGUGAAGUCCUAACAAGGUAGCCGUAGGAGAACCUGCGGCUGGAUCAC
rnacentral:rRNA from 1 species